GGUGAACGCUGGCGGUAGGCCUAACACAUGCAAGUCGAACGGCAGCACAGUAAGAGCUUGCUCUUACGGGUGGCGAGUGGCGGACGGGUGAGGAAUACAUCGGAAUCUACUUUUUCGUGGGGGAUAACGUAGGGAAACUUACGCUAAUACCGCAUACGACCUACGGGUGAAAGCAGGGGAUCUUCGGACCUUGCGCGAUUGAAUGAGCCGAUGUCGGAUUAGCUAGUUGGCGGGGUAAAGGCCCACCAAGGCGACGAUCCGUAGCUGGUCUGAGAGGAUGAUCAGCCACACUGGAACUGAGACACGGUCCAGACUCCUACGGGAGGCAGCAGUGGGGAAUAUUGGACAAUGGGCGCAAGCCUGAUCCAGCCAUACCGCGUGGGUGAAGAAGGCCUUCGGGUUGUAAAGCCCUUUUGUUGGGAAAGAAAAGCAGCAGGUUAAUACCCCGCUGUUCUGACGGUACCCAAAGAAUAAGCACCGGCUAACUUCGCG
rnacentral:rRNA from 1 species